GCUGGGAAACGCAACAGCCACAAUACGCUGUUUGGAACUCGCUUCAGAAUCUACACCCAAACCAGGAAGAAAAUAAAGGUGCGAAACUUCCUUACAGUGCCUCAUCAGUAUGCCUCAACAUAAGAACAGCCAUACUGGGUCAGACCAAGGGUCCAUCUAGCCCAGUGUCCUUCCGACAGUGGCCAAUCUCAGGUGCAUCAGACGGAAUGAACAGAACAGGUAAUCGUCAAGUGAUCCAUUCCCUGUCACUCUGACCAGAAGUGAGAUGUUCAGCCUCUGUACCCAUCUAAUGGUUGACUUGUCAGCUCUAAACAUCUGGACGACAGAGCUAUAAAGGGGGCAGGGCAUAGUUUCUUCUACUACCGCCUCCUCCUACAGUCUCAAGUUGAAAUUACGACUGAGGAAGGAAAGUGUGUAGGUCAUCUCAAAGAAUGCCAAUUACAGGAGGAUACCAGAACCGGAUGCAGUAUUGCAGCAGUGGUCACACCAGUGCCAAAUGCAUAUUAGCCGUUUUGGCCACAGUGUUACUCAGCUGUUUAUCCUAGGAAGCAGUGACCGAAAAAGAUUGAAGAGUUAAAGUGGACAGAGUCCUUCAUCCUGUAAGUAUAGCCUACACUCUGUUCCUAGAUACGUGUACAUUUAGCCAUAUUAAAACAUGUUUACUUACACCUAGCUUGCCAAGCAAUCCAGAUCACUCUAUCAGUGGCCCAUCAUUUACCACUCCAAUUUGUGUCAUCUGUAAACUAUCAGUUAUGAUUUUAUGUUCUCUUCCAGGUCACUGAUGAAAGUUAAACAGCACAGGUCCAAGAACGGAUCCCUGCAGGACCACUUUGCAAAAGCAGCUGCUCGAUGAUGAUCCCCCAUUUACAAUUACAUUUUAAGAGCUAUCAGUUAACCAGCUUUUAAUCCAUUUAAUGUGUGCCAUGUUAAUUUUGUAUUGUUCUAAAUUCUUAAACUUCUAUAAGGCAUUUGACUUGGUCCUCCAUGACAUUUUGAUUAAGUAUAUCAUAUCCACUUCUUUUUCAAGAUUAGUAUAAUUUAAGUAAAAAAAAAAAAAAAAAGAAAAAAAAGAAAGAAAGAUAGUUUGACAGAAUCAACAUCUGGGGGGAAAAUAAACAUUAUGGUCCAGCAAGCUCUUCAGCCAGAUCUUUUUAAACUCUUGGAUGCAAGUAAUCCAGACCAGCUGAUUUUAAAGCAUGUUUGGUUGGAUCUAAUCUUUACAUAUGCACAACGACUGGGAUCUUAGGUUUUGUUCCAGGCACAGAGGCAAAUGACUGAAAUGGGACAUUACCGGGCUUUUCAAUCCCAUCAGGGGUCUGAGCGGAGGCUGUCCUUCAAGUACUGGAAUUAACUAAGAAACUUAACAGUAACAAGUCACUAGGACCAGAUGGCAUUCACCCAAGAGUUCUGAAAGAACUCAAAUGUGAAAUUGUGCAACUAUUAACUAUGGUUUGUAAC